UCAGUGGCGAACGGGUGAGUAACACGUGAGCAACCUGCCCUGAACUCUGGGAUAAGCGCUGGAAACGGCGUCUAAUACUGGAUAUGAGCUGCGGAGGCAUCUUCGUGGUUGGAAAGAUUUUUCGGUUUGGGAUGGGCUCGCGGCCUAUCAGCUUNUUGGUGAGGUAAUGGCUCACCAAGGCGUCGACGGGUAGCCGGCCUGAGAGGGUGACCGNCCACACUGGGACUGAGACACGGCCCAGACUNCUACGGGAGGCAGCAGUGGGGAAUAUUGCACAAUGGGCGGAAGCCUGNAUGCAGCAACGCCGCGUGAGGGAUGACGGCCUUCGGGUUGUAAACCUCUUUUAGCAGGGAAGAAGCGAAAGUGACGGUACCUGCAGAAAAAGCGCCGGCUAACUACGUGCCAGCAGCCGCGGUAAUACGUAGGGCGCAAGCGUUAUCCGGAAUUAUUGGGCGUAAAGAGCUCGUAGGCGGUUUGUCGCGUCUGCUGUGAAAACCCGAGGCUCAACCUCGAGCCUGCAGUGGGUACGGGCAGACUAGAGUGCGGUAGGGGAGAUUGGAAUUCCUGGUGUAGCGGUGGAAUGCGCAGAUAUCAGGAGGAACACCGAUGGCGAAGGCAGAUCUCUGGGCCGUAACUGACGCUGAGGAGCGAAAGGGUGGGGAGCAAACAGGCUUAGAUACCCUGGUAGUCCACCCCGUAAACGUUGGGAACUAGUUGUGGGGUCCAUUCCACGGAUUCCGUGACGCAGCUAACGCAUUAAGUUCCCCGCCUGGGGAGUACGGCCGCAAGGCUAAAACUCAAAGGAAUUGACGGGGACCCGCACAAGCGGCGGAGCAUGCGGAUUAAUUCGAUGCAACGCGAAGAACCUUACCAAGGCUUGACAUACACGAGAACGCUGCAGAAAUGUAGAACUCUUUGGACACUCGUGAACAGGUGGUGCAUGGUUGUCGUCAGCUCGUGUCGUGAGAUGUUGGGUUAAGUCCCGCAACGAGCGCAACCCUCGUUCUAUGUUGCCAGCACGUAAUGGUGGGAACUCAUGGGAUACUGCCGGGGUCAACUCGGAGGAAGGUGGGGAUGACGUCAAAUCAUCAUGCCCCUUAUGUCUUGGGCUUCACGCAUGCUACAAUGGCCGGUACAAAGGGCUGCAAUACCGCGAGGUGGAGCGAAUCCCAAAAAGCCGGUCCCAGUUCGGAUUGAGGUCUGCAACUCGACCUCAUGAAGUCGGAGUCGCUAGUAAUCGCAGAUCAGCAACGCUGCGGUGAAUACGUUCCCGGGUCUUGUACACACCGCCCGUCAAGUCAUGAAAGUCGGUAACACCUGAAGCCGGUGGCCCAACCCUUGUGGAGGGAGCCGUCGAAGGUGGGAUCGGUAAUUAGGACUAAGUCGUAACA
rnacentral:rRNA from 1 species